GACGACGCUGGCGGUGUGCUUCACACAUGCAAGUCGAACGAGGUAGCAAUACCUAGUGGCGGACGGGUGAGUAACGCGUGGGAAUCUGCCUUUAGAUGGGGGAUAACGGGUCGAAAGACUCGCUAAUACCGCAUAUGACGAAAGUUGAAAGGAGUAAUCCGUCUAAAGAUGAGCCCGCGUCCGAUUAGCUAGUUGGUAGAGUAAAAGCCUACCAAGGCGACGAUCGGUAGCUGGUCUGAGAGGAUGAUCAGCCACAAUGGGACUGAGACACGGCCCAUACUCCUACGGGAGGCAGCAGUGGGGAAUUUUACGCAAUGGGCGAAAGCCUGACGUAGCGACACCGCGUGAGCGAAGAAGCCCCUUGGGGUGUAAAGCUCUGUCAGCUGGAACGAAAAAAAUGACGGUACCAGCAGAGGAAGCAUCGGCUAACUACGUG
rnacentral:rRNA from 1 species